GUAAGAUCCUGCCUCCUGGCCAUAGGUGAAACCUGACUCAAGUUAGCUCAAAAAGAAUAUGAUAUUAGACUGUAAAAAAGAGAGAACAGUUACUUACUGAAUUACUAAACCUCAACCUUGGGUGCUGUUGGGAGCCAUGUUUUCUGUCGCAUGGGCCUGAAAACAAGAAAAGUUGAGUUGUGGAACAGACACAACACCUGGAAAAGAGAAGAAACAGGACAGAAUGUC
rnacentral:lncRNA from 1 species